rnacentral:rRNA from 1 species
UCUACGGGAGGCAGCAGUGGGGAAUAUUGCACAAUGGGGGAAACCCUGAUGCAGCGACGCCGCGUGAGUGAAGAAGGUUUUCGGAUCGUAAAACUCUGUCCUUGGUGAAGAAAAAAAUGACAGUAGCCAAGGAGGAAGCCCCGGCUAACUACGUGCCAGCAGCCGCGGUAAUA